rnacentral:rRNA from 1 species
UACAGAGGGUGCAAGCGUUAAUCGGAAUUACUGGGCGUAAAGCGUGCGUAGACGGUUAUGUAAGUCUGUCGUGAAAUCCCCGGGCUCAACCUGGGAACUGCAUUUGUGACUGCCCGGCUAGAGUGUGUCAGAGGGGGGUAGAAUUCCACGUGUAGCAGUGAAAUGCGUAGAUAUGUGGAGGAAUACCGAUGGCGAAGGCAGCCCCCUGGGAUAACACUGACGCUCAUGCACGAAAGCGUGGGGAGCAAACAGG